UACGUAGGGUCCGAGCGUUAAUCGGAAUUACUGGGCGUAAAGCGUGCGCAGGUGGUUUUGUAAGCCAGAUGUGAAAUCCCCGGGCUUAACCUGGGAACUGCAUUUGGUACUGCAAGGCUAGAGUACGGCAGAGUGAGGUGGAAUUCCAGGUGUAGCAGUGAAAUGCGUAGAGAUCUGGAGGAACACCGAUGGCGAAGGCAGCCUCCUGGGCUAGUACUGACGCUCAUGCACGAAAGCGUGGGGAGCAAACAGGAUUAGAUACCCUGGUAGUCCACGCCCUAAACGAUGACGACUAGUUGUUGGGGAUUUAACAUCCUUAGUAACGUAGCUAACGCGUGAAGUCGUCCGCCUGGGGAGUACGGUCGCAAGAUUAAA
rnacentral:rRNA from 1 species